rnacentral:pre_miRNA from 1 species
AAUGUACUCCCUCCGUUUGGAAUUACUUGUCUCGGAAAUGGAUGUAUCUAGAACUAAAAUACGUCUAGAUACAUCCAUUUCUGCGACAAGUAAUUCCGAACGGAGGGAGUAUUAC